rnacentral:lncRNA from 1 species
UCCCCUCAGGACAUAAUCUUGCUGCUAGCACAAGAACGGGCAUGAAAGAAGCCUGAAAUACACUAGCAUUCAGACGCAAGGCAAAUUUUGCAGAAACAAAUAAUAUCAUAGUUGAAUUAAAGCCCCAAAAGAAGCAUGUUCCAAGGAGAAAAACAGUAUGUGUGAUUAUUUAGUAGUAGACACUCACAACAUCCGAGAAAGCAACAGAGAGAGAUCCGAGAAGUAUGCAAAAAGCAGCACUAUAUUUGCUGUCAACAGAAGUGGCCAUCAGACUCCAUGAGAGUGCACCAAGCAGCCCGGAUAAAACUAGGUAUGACCUUCUCCGAUAACCAAAAAGGGGGAUGGAGUCACUGCAUGUCAUAACAACAGCUUCAGUAAUUAAACUUUUGUCCACAGGGGAGACAUAAGAUGGGAAUAUAAUGAACAGCCCGCAUGAGGAAGAGCGAAAAAUGCUACAGUUUAAACUUACCUAAUAAAACCAUACAGAGGUUUCACAAGCCAUGGAAACGCAGAAAUACCAGAAAUCACAGCUGCCUAGUCAAUAAUGUAGCGUGUCAGUCCUUCAAAUAAUAGUGUUAAUUGACUCGAUCCAAAAAUAAAAAGGAUUGGUGUUUCAAGGAAAUUUUAUCACUUUUUUAGGAUUUUGUAGUUGACCCUGUUAGGAUAUGAGAGACAUCUCGUGAUAUUACUAUUGUAUCUUAGACUAUCAGUAUCUUGGAUGAUCUUGCAGAAUCUGUUCCCUUAUCUAUAGUUCCUGAUUUGUUUCCACAUUUGAUAAGGGUUAGUGUUUGAUCUAAUGUGUGGCAUUAUACAAUAUAGAAGACAAGGUUAUAUUAU